UUCUCCUAUUGGAUCAGGUAGUCCUGUCAGGCACAAUGAAAGAAACAUGCGCUUUACUGCUGGGAUGAGGAAUUUUUCUGGUGGUGUCAUGGGAUCUUGGCACUCAGAAACUGGUGGUAACCUUGGCGAGGAUUUUCCUUCCUCUUUGCUAGAUGAGUUCAAAAGCAAUAAAACUAAAUGUUUUGAACUCUCAGAAAUUGCGGGUCAUGUUGUCGAGUUCAGGUAUACCCCACCUUGUCCCUCUUGUCUUUUAUCUUGGGCAUCGAGGAAUUUAAUUCUUGUAUUGUUCCAUUCCUUUAACGAACAGUGCCGAUCAGUAUGGGAGUCGAUUCAUUCAGCAGAAACUUGAAACUGCUACCACAGAAGAGAAAAACAUGGUCUUCAAUGAAAUUAUGCCGCAAGCCCUUUCGUUAAUGACAGAUGUUUUUGGUAAUUAUGUUAUUCAAAAGGUAUUUCUUAUUAUGAAACUCAAUUUUCCUAUGAUUUUCUUGUUGAAUCUUUACUUUUAGUAUGUUUGUAUGCCCAAAUGCGCUGGAGUUCAUAAAUGUGCGGAAGCAGAAAAAUCACUUAAGCAUUGUUCUGUCUUCAGUUUUUGAGCAUGGAUCUGCUGCCCAAAUCAGAGAACUGGCUGACCAGCUAAUUGGCCAUGUCUUGACUCUUAGCCUGCAAAUGUACGGUUGUCGGGUGAUCCAGAAGGUAAGUUUACUUAGAGACCCCUCUGCAAUACUUGCAUUUUAACAGGGUUUUAAUUCUAAAAUGGUGCUGUUCACUUUUGUGGAUCUAUCUAUUAGCAUGUGUUGGAUGCACUUGGCAGGGCCUCUCAAUAAUGCAUCAUGGUCAGGUUUUUCAAUAAUGCUCACCCGCCUGAUUUGAGGGGUCCAGUUGUCCCUCAAAUUUAUCUUACUGAGACAGGGGAAUCAUCUAAAAGCUGGUCCCAAGGAAUAAUGAAUAAUAAUCACUUAUGAAAGAUUCUAAAUCAUCCUGCAGAAUUUUGGAUUCAUUCCCACUGUAAAACUUUUGAAGUAAUUAGUUUUGAGUAAAUUUCCCUUAGCCAGCCAAAAUUAUGGGUUUCUGUUGCACCUCUUGAAUUUUGGAUAUUCUCAGUUCUGACCUGGACCAUUCACCUUAUUGGUGGACAUCAGAUAUUUUGAAAUUUCUCGAAAACCACAGGAUAUUGAAUUUUAAUUCUCUAACCCCCUUUAUUUUUAGCUUGUUAAAUAUAGCUUAUCAAGUUAUUUGUUUUCUUUUAGGAAAAUAUCUGUUUAUGCACCUGCUUGUCUAAUAUAUUUAAUUAUUAAAACCCAACUUUUAGAUUUAAUGAUCUUUGAUCUUGAUAACCAGGCCAUAGAAGUGGUUGAGCUGGACCAACAGACUAAAAUGGUGUCAGAGCUUGAUGGCCAUAUCAUGCGAUGUGUGCGUGAUCAGAAUGGGAACCAUGUCAUUCAGAAGUGUAUUGAAUGUGUACCUGAAGAUGCUAUACAGUUUAUUGUCUCAACGUUUUAUGAUCAAGUUGUGACACUGUCCACUCAUCCAUAUGGCUGUCGAGUCAUACAGGUCUAUAUAAUGUGUUUCUUCACUUACACAUAUGUAAACAUACAUUUACAUGUGCAGACAUAUUUGUACAUGCUAAUAUAUGCAUGUAUGUAUCUAUAUCUAUUUUGUAAAGAUCCAGUUGCUAUGAUUCUAACUUGAUAUAAAUUCUGCCAGAGAGUCCUGGAGCACUGCCAUGAUGCAAAAACCCAGCGUAUUAUGAUGGAUGAGAUUUUGCAAUCUGUCCUUAUGUUGGCACAAGAUCAGUAUGGGAAUUAUGUUGUACAGGUUUGUGCUAUGAUGUUCGCAUAUAAAUAAUACUGCAUUUAACUAUUCUCGAGGGAUUGUUUAUAUGAUAUUGGGUACUGGUUGGUGGCAGUAAAUAUGUUGGUAAAUUUGUUUCAAGUUUGGAAAAACAUCAGCAGUGUACAAACAAGGGAAACUCAUUUUUUGAGAGUAUCUAAGGAUUUUGUACCUUAACUCGUUAUCUCAUUGCAUUUUUUUUUUCUUGGUGAGAAUUCAUUUCUUAAUGCCUUAUUCUUUAAUGGGCAACGUCAUGAGCGUUUAUUGUUUUGCCGAUUAUCUAACUGAGCUGCUCUACUUGAAUGCAUAAUAUUUCAGCAUGUGUUGGAGCACGGAAAACCUCAUGAACGUUCAUCAAUAAUAAAGAAAUUAACUGGACAGAUAGUUCAAAUGAGUCAGCAGAAAUUUGCCUCCAAUGUUAUUGAGAAGUGUUUAACAUUUGGUACUGCAGCAGAACGCCAGGCCUUGGUGAAUGAGAUGCUCGGUACUACUGAUGAAAAUGAGCCUCUUCAGGUUUAUAAAAUAAUUCAUUGGCUCCCUACAGUUCAAUAGGCUCCAUUGUGAUUCUAAUGCAAAAUACAUGCAUUAUACUACAUUUGAUUCCUAGACUCUCAUAACAGUUUUACAUGCAUUAUACUACAUUUGAUUCCUAGACUCUCAUAACAGUUUUGCUUAUUUUAUGCUUUUUCUUUAAUACUUUAAUUAGCAGUUGUCUUGGUUUUCAUGCUUAGUAUGUCAUUUAUUUCAGGAUGUGAUGAUUUCUUUUUCUUUUUUUUUGAUUUUGUGUUUGUCGUUGCAUGCAGGUUAUGAUGAAAGAUCAGUUUGCUAAUUACGUUGUACAGAAAGUGCUGGAAACUUGUGAUGACCAGCAACUUGAACUAAUCCUUGACCGAAUAAAGGUUCACUUAAAUGCUUUGAAGAAGUAUACUUAUGGGAAGCAUAUAGUUGCACGUGUAGAGAAACUUGUUGCAGCUGGAGGUAAUUCUAUUUCUUUAUUUUUCCUGCUUUUGUUAAUUUGCUCUGAUCUUUACCUUUUUGUAUUUAAAGGAAAUCAUAUGCACUGUUUUGAUAUGAUGUGUUUUCUUCACCAUGCUCUUUUCGUGGUCAUUGUUUGAUUGUUAAUUUAGGACUGAUGUUCAUUGUUUAUUCCUCGAUGAUCAAUUUUGCCUCAUCAAAUGGGCCAAGGCAAAUGGAAAUGUCAUCUGAAUUUAUGCUUUUGUUAUUGUAAUCAAUUAAUGAGGUUGCAAACAAUUAAGCUUUUCCCAUAUAGGUGCCUUUGUUACCUAUGCAAGCUUUGAUAAUAUUUUAUUAUUGAUAUUUGUUCCCUAUGCAAGCCUGAUAAUAUUUCAUCAUUGAUAUUGAUGACCUUUUCUUAUCUAAAAGAAAACAACUUACUUUGACUUACUUAUGAAAGCUCUUUCGAGUAAGACUUUUUCUUCUCAAUGUUAGGAAACUUUGCAUGGACUGAGGUGUGGAAGACUUUGUUAGUUGCAUAAGUAGUGUGCAGAAACAACUUUUAACUAGUGCUCUUUCUCUUUUUGCAGAGAGGAGGAUCAGCUUCCUUACCCUGCAUACUGCUGCUUAGAUGGCAUAGGAGAAGUUGUACAGCUAAAGAUAGUAUGAGCGCCUCUCUCUCUCUCUCCUCCCCAUCUUUCUUCUUCCUUUUCAUUUCUAGCACUUGCUCUGUCUAUUUAUUUGAAUAGAUAGGAGCUUAAUGGAAAUAAAUUGUCGGUUGUACUUAAAACUGUACAUUGUUAGUUCGAGGAUAUACCUAGAUUCAGGCUAGCUGAGGCUCAGAUGGUGAACAUACUGAUGCCCUUGCAGAGGAGAUAAAAUUUACUGUACAAGUUUUAAGGGUGUAAAAAGGGAGGAGGUAGUGGAUUUGUGAUCGUGACUGUACAAAAUAUUACCAGGCAUGGAUGGCCUUUGUGUUUAGGAGAGUCCGGAAUUUUUGGCAUGUAUGGAUCAUAUAGUUUUCUUAUUUAAAAGAACUUUUUCUCCCCUUUCCUUUGCUGUGGCUUGCUUGAGAAUGUAUCAUCUAUGGGUUGCUUGGUUUACUGUACUUGUUAUUGGUAUUUUACAUGAUUGUUUCUCCAAGUUUAGUUGUUUUAUCCUCGUCUUUUCCGGUGACUAGUUCAGUUGAUUUCAUUUUCACUUAGGACGCAUCUGAAAAUUAACGGCUGCUGUUUUUAUUUUUUGAUACAAAAAUAAUGGCUUUCAUGUGGCAGCACAGUGAACAUUGUGUAUGAUGAUGUUUUAGUUCAGAUUAGCCAAGUUUUGUUCCUUCUAACUUGCACGAUGUUUUAGUUAGAAUAAUCUCUCUUGGGACUGCCCGUUUUCUGAUCUUUGUUCCUAAGGUUCACAUACUGUGGUUAAACUCUUAACUUGUAAUCACAGCUAGAAAUAGAAGGUAACUUUUUGAUGUAAAAAGGGUUUCAAGAAAAGAAAAGGGUUUCAAUUCAAGAAUAGGGUGAGUUUCAACUUUCAAGAAAAGGAAGGAGCUAUCUAUCUUAACUAUUAGUCUUCCUGGUAAUAUAGUUUGAGAAAAAGCAAUCAGACAAUUUGGUUAUGUGGGAGAUCAUAAGGUAAAUAGGGGGCAUAAUGAAAUGUUCACUGCACAAGAAGAAAAUAGUCAUUCCUGUAAAAGAGCAUGUAACCGAGGACUUCUUUCCUCUAAAAUAUAAUUCAACUAGUAUUCAAAGUCAAAAGUGGCAAGAGCAUUACAUGGUUUUGUCUGUGACUUUAUCAGAUAUGAAACCCAGUUAUCAGUUGCCCCUCUUUGGAAAAGGGUUUGUUAAAAAUGAUACUAUUGGCCUGUUAAAACUAACUAUAUAGUAAAGUUCUUGGAAUAUUUUUCUCAUAAACAUGUGGGAUUUGAAAAUUAAUUUUAUUAAUAGAUUUAUAUAUUUGCGUCCUUGACAUUUCUCAUUAAAUCAGAGUGCUUUUUCUGAAGAAAAAAGAAUGAAUUUAUCUAUUAUUUAUUUAAUACACACUUCUUAAGAAAAAAAGAAAAGAAAAAGAAAAACAAUUUUUUUUUGCUUAUGAUGAUGCUCAGCUCUUAAGACUUGUAGGGCUCCUAAAUAUGUUAUCACCUUCUGCGCUCCUAAUUGAUGCUUGAUUUUAGCAUAUUAGAUCACUGUAAGGGAGGGGCAUUCACCAUGUUUCUUCAGGAUUUCUUCAUCUUUGAUACUGCUAUUGUUUGCUACUUGGAACUUUGCUUAACAUUAGCCUUUUCCCCUUAGGGUUUUGUUAAAGUAAAAUCAGUCAUGUGCAUAAAAUUCAAACUUGAUUCUUACUUUGUCGAGACAUCAGUCGCCAUAAACAAAUAUCCAUCAAGCUUCUGAUAAUCUUCAAUGAAGUUUGAUCUGCUUUGAGUUUUGCGUAAGCCUACUACCGUACAACCUUUCAGUUUGCCAUAUUUAUGCGGUUCCCUAAUUGUGUAUUCUUCCUCCAAGAAUUUUGCUUGAAAUUAUUUGUCCUUUUGCAGACACCCCUGCGAAGAAAUUUGCCUUCCUUUCUCCAUCUCUGCUGCUAUCAUAUUCCUUCCAUUGAUAUUAUUCAACUAUGAAAUUUAAUUAAGAGCUUAUGCUUGUAAAAAAUAUAAAAAGAAAUACUCAAGGAAAGUUUAAUAAUCAAUAUUUCCCAAAAUUGGAAAAUAGAAAUUAAUUUCUUUAAUAUCAUGUGUUUAAUUUUUAUUUAUUUGUAUUUAUAUGAACCUGAAAUUUGUUUGAGCUAAAAUUUGCAAAAAAGUUUACCUCCAGAACAUUUGGAAGCGGAAGUAUAGCUUCUAAUUUUAGUUUCCUUGCCAUGGAUAUCAAGAAUUGCAUGUUUAGUUGCAGGGAACUUUUCUAUUUUUAUUUUUAUUGAAAAUUUAUAAAAUAUAUUUACUUGUUAUCAAAAUAAAAAGAGUUUAUUUUUUAUUUGGAUAAUAUUAUAAAUUUAAAAAGUAAACUUAGAAAAUAUUAAGUGAAAAUUUAUUAUUUUCAUUUAAAAUAAAUAACUUUUUAUAUAAAAAGAUAUAGAAAAAAUAUUAAAGUUUAAUUAUAUUUUUAAUUUUUAUCUUAAAAAAAUAAUAUACAUAAACAUAAAAUACUAUUUUUAAUUUUGUUGAAAUUCUUUUUAAAAGUUUGACAUAAUAUAAAUAAACACACCUCAAUUACUUUUUACUCUUUAGGUUGAAUUUCUAAAAAUUGCAAUUUCUUUGAUGGUGGUUUAAGUUUUAGCCAUAGAGAUUUUUUUCCAUUGGGAUAUUCCUCAAGAGUUGUUAUAUCUGAUUAUCUAAGACUGUUGAUAAUGCUUUUUCAUCUUAAUAUAUUAUCAAUUUUAUUCUAAAAGAAAAAGACCUAAAUACAAUUAAAAGAAAAAGUAUUAAAAAAACUAUUAGACUGGCAUUAAUUCACAGGAAAUAAAACCCUAAAGGACCUCUUGUAAGAACAAAUCCUUAUAGAAUCAAUCCCUGCCGUCACUUCACAAAUCCAACGCUCCAGAUCUCCCUAUUGCUAGUGCUUAUCACCCUCCUCUUUUCUCACUUCACUCUCUCUCUACGAGUCUCUGUCUCUAUUUCUCUCUCUAAAAGAAACAUGGCAAAACCCUUUACCAUCAUUUGAUCAUCUUCAACAAACACUUCACUUCUUCAUUCUCAAUCUGAUCUCUCUUUCUAUAUUUAUGACCAAAGUUACCCUCUUUAACUCAAUACCCACAUCUGAACACAUCAUCAACAACUUCGUAAUUUUUUUUGGUUGUGGUUUUUGAGGAUUUUAUGUUUUUGUUUCGUUUUGGGUUAUGUGGGUUUUUGGUUUUGAUCAACAAGAACUACUUGUUUGAACAUAAAAAGCAAAACCCAGUUCAAAUUUAGCUAUUUUUAGCGCUUAAAGUUUGAAACUUUAUUUAUCUACUAAUGAUCACAGAUACAUAUUCAAAGAUUUUACCUGAUAUUUCAAUGCGAUCAAUGCUCAAAAACGAGGAUUUGAGCAAACUAAUUAGAGAGCAAAGGUUACAACAAGAGGCAGUGAGUGAUAGAGAGAAAGAACUUAAUAUUUAUAGAAGCGGGUCUGCACCACCUACAGUAGAAGGUUCUUUAAACUCUAUUGGAGGGUUAUUUAGCGCAACUGAGUUAGCUGGUAUAGCAAAGAGUAAUAGUAAAGGCGGGUUCUUGAGUGAAGAAGAGAUAAGGUCUGAUCCUGCUUAUGUAAAUUAUUACUAUUCUAAUGUUAACUUGAAUCCAAGAUUACCUCCUCCUUUGUUAUCUAAAGAAGAUUGGAGGUUUGCACAAAGAUUACAUGGUGGUGGUGCUGAAGUUAAUUCUGCUGUUGGAGAUAGAAGGAAGGGGAGUAGUAGAGGUGGUGAAAACGAAGGGAAUAGGUCUCUCUUUGCUGUGCAGCCAGGGUUUGGAGGAGGAAACGAAGAGAACGGGAAUGGUGGUGGAGUUGAGUGGGGAGGAGAUGGAUUGAUUGGGUUGCCGGGUUUAGGCCUAGGAAGUAGGCAAAAGAGCAUUGCAGAAAUCUUUCAGGUGGACAACAUGAACUUCUGCUUCCUUUUUGUUGUUGUUUUUUUUUUUUUUUUUGAAACAUUACUUGCUUUCCAUGCGCCGCUUAUUGCAAAUGCUCAGAUUUUUUUUAAUGGAUUGUGGCUGUUAGAUAUUGUGUGUUUUCCAGUAUGAUGAAGGGAUGGUGUUUAUUGCAAAUGGUAUGUGAAAUAUGAUGAUCCUUUUCUUAGCUAUCGUCAAUGUUGUCUGUCAAAAUAUUUUUGUGAAAGUUAGAGUGUAUUUUAUAAUUUGCAGUGUACGUGCAAUAUAUACUGUGAUCUGUAAAUUCUGUUUCUUUUUGGAAGAAUCUAUGUUAGUUUUUAGGUCUGUAGCUUGUAUGCUGUAUUUAGGGUUAGUAAUAUUUUGGUAUUUAUAUUUAAGUCAUUAUUAUUGCUCUAUCAUUUAUCUUUUCUAAGAAUUGAUUGCAACAGCAUUGACUUUGAUAUGAUUAUGAGAAUUAAUUCAUCUUCUUUUCCAUUUUUGGAUGUCUAUUGAUUGCUCUAUGUUGGUGGAUAUGGAUCAUCUCAGUUUGUUUCCUCUCGUUCUUUUAUUUGGCAAUUAUGUCCCUUCUGUUUAGUAAGCAUGUGCCCGUCAUUAUCUUGUACUAAUUAAAGUUGUUAUUUCAAUUGUUUGAUAGUGUUUUGUAAGUGAGGGCCUAUCGAUUUAUCCUUUUGCUUUUUAUUCUGUGUAUCUUGCUUUCUCUUCUCCCUUGUAUGAAUAUAGAUUUUAUGAUUUUGAACAAAAAUACAUAUAUAUGCAAGUUUUUAUCAGUGUUCAUUAAGUCUGCAAUUGGGAUAGCUAGCCCAUAUAUGGGUGAUUUAUGAUAGAAUAAUGUCCAUCACCAAUGUUUCUUUCUCACUUGCUUCAUUCACUGAAUUUGCACUUCUGCUUUUAGUGGUUCUUUUUUAACAAAUGCAAGUUUAAUAUGCUUCUCGCUAAGUGGUUUGUUUUUGAGAAUUCAGGAUGAUAUGAGUCAUGCAAAUUCCACCUCAAGGCAUCCUUCACGUCCAUCUAGUCGCAAUGCAUUUGAUGACGAUGUAGAUAAUUCUGAACCACAGUUUGCUCAGCUGCACAAUUUAACAUCUUCUGAUGCUUUGCGCUCUGUGGCAAAUAAACAAGGUGUUUCUGUGGUCCCAAAUGUUGGUGCGACAGCUUCUCAUAGCUAUGCUUCUGCUUUAGGUGCCUCUUUGUCACGAAGCACUACGCCUGAUCCUCACCUUGUAGCUAGAGCUCCUAGUCCUCGCAUUCCACCUAUUGGAGGAGGUAGGGCCAAUUCUAUUGAUAAAAGAGAUGUGAAUGGUUCAAACUCAUUUAAAGGUGUCUCAAGCUUGAAUGAAUCUGCUGAGCUAGUAGCUGCUUUGUCUGGAUUGAAUCUGUCAACGGUUGAUGAAGAGAAUCAUGCGCGGUCACACAGGCAACAUAACAUUGACGAUCACCAUAAUCUCUUCAAUUUACAAGGUGACCAAAACCACGUCAAGCAACAGUCAUUCUUGAAUAAGCCUGUUUCAUCUGCUAACUCUUAUUUAAAGGGUCCCUCAACACAAACUCUCAGUGGCAGAGGAGGUUCUCCUUCUGAACUCCAGAAUAUUGAUAACAUGAACUCGGCAUUUCCAAACUAUGGCUUGGGUGGGUAUCCUAUGAAUCCUUCAUCUCCAUCUAUGUUGGCAAGCCAACUUGGAAGUGGGAGUUUGCCACCGCUAUUUGAAAGUGCGGCUGCUGCAUCUGCAAUGGGAGGAACUGGAUUGGAUUCUAGAGCACUUGGUGCUUUAGGACCAAACUUAGUGGCUGCCGCAGCAGAAUUACAAAAUCUCAGUAGAGUUGGAAAUCAGAACACUAAUAAUGGCCUUCAGAUGCCCCUCAUGGACCCUUUAUAUCUUCAGUACAUGAGGUCAAAUGAGUAUGCUGCUGCACAGCUUGCAGCUCUCAAUGACCCUACUAUGGAUAGGGAGUACCUUGGUAAUUCAUACAUGGAUCUGCUCCAAAAAGCUUACUUAGGAGCUUUGCUUUCACCUCAAAAAUCACAAUAUGGUGUUCCUUAUCUUGGCAAUUCUGGCAGCAUGAAUCAUAACUACUAUGGUAAUCCAGCAUUUGGUCUUGGCAUGUCCUAUUCUGGAAGCCCAAUAGGGGGUCCCCUUCUUCCCAGUUCUCCUAUUGGAUCGGGCAGUCCUGUCAGGCACAGUGAAAGAAACAUGCGCUUUACUGCUGGGAUGAGGAAUUUGUCUGGUGGUGUCAUGGGAUCUUGGCACUCAGAAACUGGUGGUAACCUUGGCGAGGAUUUUCCUUCCUCUUUGCUUGAUGAGUUCAAAAGCAAUAAAACUAAAUGUUUUGAACUCUCAGAAAUUGCAGGUCAUGUUGUCGAGUUCAGGUAUACCUCACCUUGUCCCUCU
rnacentral:lncRNA from 1 species